rnacentral:misc_RNA from 1 species
CGUCAGAUGGGUAUAAGAGACAGGUGAGUCAUCGAAUCUUUGAACGCACAUUGCGCCCUUUGGCAUUCCGAAGGGCAUGCCCGUUCGAGCGUCAUUACACCACUCAAGCCUGGCUUGGUAUUGGGCAUUAUCUUCACUGAUAGGCCUUCAAUUCUUCGGCUGGACGGUACGAAUCUCAGCGUUGUGGUUUAAUCAAAUCGCUGGCGAGGAGGACCGGACGUCGCCGUAAAACUUCAUUACAGGUUGACCUCGGAUCGGGUAGGGAUACCCGCUGAACUUAAGCAUAUCAAUAAGCGGAGG